UUUCAACUCAUUGAUCGAUGC
rnacentral:siRNA from 1 species